rnacentral:rRNA from 1 species
AUACGGAAGGUCCGGGCGUUAUCCGGAUUUAUUGGGUUUAAAGGGAGCGCAGGCGGGAUAUUAAGCGUGACGUGAAAUGUAGAUGCUCAACAUCUGAACUGCGUCGCGAACUGGUUUCCUUGAGUGCAUUCGACGUCAGCGGAAUUUGUGGUGUAGCGGUGAAAUGCUUAGAUAUCACGAAGAACUCCGAUUGCGAAGGCAGCUGACGAGACUGUAACUGACGCUAAAGCUCGAAAGUGCGGGUAUCGAACAGGAUUAGAUACCCUGGUAGUCCGCACGGUAAACGAUGGAUGCCCGCUGUUUGCGAUAUAUUGUAAGCGGCCAAGCGAAAGCGUUAAGCAUCCCACCUGGGGAGUACGCCGGCAACGGUGAAACUCAAAUGAAUUGACGGGG